UGCCAGCAGCCGCGGUAAUACGAAGGGGGCUAGCGUUGUUCGGAAUUACUGGGCGUAAAGCGCACGUAGGCGGACUUUUAAGUCAGAUGUGAAAUCCCGGGGCUCAACCUCGGAACCGCAUUUGAAACUGGAAGUCUGGAGUUCAGGAGAGGUUAGCGGAAUACCGAGUGUAGAGGUGAAAUCCGUAGAUAUUCGGAAGAACACCAGUGGCGAAGGCGGCUCACUGGCUCGAUACUGACGCUGAGGUGCGAAGGCGUGGGGAGCAAACAGGAUUAGAUA
rnacentral:rRNA from 1 species